GAUCUAGUAGAGGAGGAGAUAUUAAAGAACCAGAUGAAAGAGCUGCCUCAGGGGACAAUUUCACCAAGACAAGAGAAUGACUGAGAUCUGAGCCCCCUCCCCACCACACCAGUGGACAGAUAACCUCUGCAUGGGAAGAAGAAGGACUUUCUCAAUUGAUAUGACGGAUAUGAUGCUGAAGAUGCACACACAGGGGACCAGGAACUGGGCCUUGGAUGACCCUCCCUGUUUCCACCUGUUCUUUAGUUUCUGUCUCCUGCAGUCCAGAUACGCACAGCUGUGCUCUGCCUGAGAUUUCCAUCAACACCAAACUUGUAAUCUUUCUUCACUUCCGAAACCUGCUUCUUCUCCUGGCCUUGCACAGUGAUAUUUCCUGAACAUAUACCCUGUUCUAGAAGUUGGGAGUUUACAAAUCAACAAGAAGGACAGAAGUCACUGUUUCCAUGGAGUUUACAAUCUACCAUGGGGUGAUCCACAACAUCCAGAUUUGUUUCCUCCACCAAGGCAACUCUCUUGAAGCCCAAGACUAUGCCUUUUUGUUCCUGUGCAGCAUGUCACCGGGAACAGCAUGGUGCCAGGGUCAUCGAGGGUGCUACGUCAGUGUUGUCUGAAGUUACUUUCAGGUCACUUUUGCAAGCUGCAGAGUAAAAGAUACCUGUGGAUAAAAGGAAGGUGCCUCAUCACAGCAAAGGCAACAUAAGAAAAGGUCAUAGCUAACGUUAUGACCAACGGUAAAAGACCAAGAGCUCUUCCUUUCAAUCAGGAGCAAGACAGAAAUGUCUAUUUGCACAACUUCUUUCCAAUACAGGGACAGUUCAAAAAUUAAGGAAGAAAAAGAAAUACAAGACACCCAAAUUGGAAUAUUUUUGGAAAUUUUCCAAAUUUCCAAAUUUGAAAUUUUCUGUUUUCAGAUGACAUAAUUUAUAUGUUGAAAAGCCCCAAAACUAUGAAGAACUGUAAGAACUAAUAAAUGAGUUCAGCAAAGUUUUAGGAAAUGAAACUGAUACACAAAAAAAUCUGUUGCUUUUCUAUACAACAAUGAAUAAUUUAAAUAGGAAGUUAAGACAAAAUUCCAUUUCCAAUAGUAUAAAAAAGAAUAAAACAACUAAAACUUACAAAGGAGGCAAAAUACUGAAAAGUAUAAAAUAUUGUUGAAAGAAAGAAGAUAAAAAAAUAAAGAUACCUCAUGUUCAUGAACCUGAAGACUUGAUAUUUUUAGUAUUACCCAAAGUGAUCUAUAGAUUCAAUGAAAUCACAUCAAAAUUAUAAUGACUUUUUUUUUUGUAGAGAAGAAAUAGGAGACUUCAUUCUUAAAUUCAUCGGGAAUCUUGAGAGAACUUGAACAGACAAAAUAAUCCUUUUUUAAAAAGGACAAAGUCCAAGGACUAACAAUUCCUGAUUUUAAACCUUAUUACAAAGCUAUAGCAAUCAGUAUGAUACUAACUUUAAAGCAGACCUGAAGAUCAAUGGGAUAGAAUAGAGAGCCCAGAAAUAAGCUCUUGCAUGAAUGGUCAAAUGAUUCUUAACAAUGGUGCUAAGCCUACUGAUUAAGAAAAGAAUGGCCUCUUCAACAAAUGGUGCUGGGGAAAGAAAAGGAUUCCAUACGUAAAUGAGUGAACUUGAGGGUUAUACUGUAUAUAAAAACAGGCUAAGUAGAUUGAGGAUCUAAAUGUAGGAGCUAAAACUGUAAAACCUUAAGAAGAAAACAGGAACAAAAUUGAAAACUUCAUGUCAUUGGAUUUGGUAGUGGUUUCUGGGAUACCACACCAAGAACAGACAAUGAAGGUAAAAAUAGAUAAAUUGAACCACAACAAAAUAAAAAGCUUCAGUGUAUCAAAAGACAAAAUUAACAGAAAGAAAAGGCAACUAAUAGAAUGGGAGUAAAUAUUUGCAAAUCAUAAUGUCUGCUAUGGGGUUAAUAUCCAGAAUACGUAAAGAACUCCUAUCACUUAACAACCGCAACAGACCAACCGAAUAAUGUGAUUAAAAAUAAGCAAAGGACUUGAGGAGAAAUUUUGCCAAAGAAAAUGUACAAAAUGGACAAGAAACAUGAAAAGAUGCUCAAGAUCACUAAGUACUUAGGAAACGAAUGAAAACCAAAAUAAGAUAUCACCCCACACCCAUUUGGAUGGCUUCUGUCAAAAAAUCAGAAUAGCAAGUGUUGGUAAGAUGUGGAGGAAUUAGAUCACUUGUGCACUGUUGGUGGGAAUGUAAAAUCAAUUACCAUGGAAAACAGUAUGACAGUUCUUUAAUAUACAUGUAAAGCAUAUAUGCACGUAUGAUAUAUAUCCAUAUAUCCUAAAAUAAAUAAAAGGACACACACACACACACACACUCUUACAUUGCAUGAUUAUGGCAAUUCCACACUCAGGAUGUGUAACCAAAGAAUUGAAAGUAGAGUCACAAAGAUAUAUCCACAUACACAUUUUAUAGCAUUGCUAUUCACAGUAGGCAAAAGGUGGAGGCAACCCAAGUGGCUACAAUGGAUAAAUACACAAACAAAAUGUGGCAUAUGCAUACAGUGGAAUAUUAUAAGCAUAAUUUGAAAAAGAAAAUUCCGACAUAUGUUACAACAUGUAUGAAUCUCGAGGACAUUUUGUCAAAUUAUGAAAAGAUAAGCACUGUAUGAUUCCACUUACAUAAGAAAGUUAGAGUCAAUAAAAUAAUAGAGACAGAAAGUAUCUAUGGUGCUUACCAGAGGCUGGGAGGGGGAUUGGGAGUAAGGAGUUAUUGCUUAAGGCAUACAAAGUUUCAGUUUUGCAAGGUGAAAGAAUGAUGGGGAAGGAUGGUGGUAAUAGUAAUAUUAUAAAUGUAUUUAAUACCACUUAAGUGUACAUUUAAAAAUGUUAAGAUGGUAAAUUUUAUGUCAUGUGUAUUUUACAAUUAAAAAUCAAAUGAACAAAAUGAUCUGUGUGGAGAGAACAGUGGUUUUCCUGGCAGUCUCUGUGUGAGGCCCUCAGGGGACUUCUAUUCCUGGGGUAGUGUACAAAGGAAGGUCCAGAUGGUUUGGAGCCAGACAGCUCUGAGUUCAAGCUCUACCAUAGCCAUUAUCGGCUGUGUGACCUUGUGGAAAUUAUUUAAACUCUCUUGGUUGAGUUUAUGUAUCUCUAACAACAGGGAAAUAAUACUUACCCAAUACGUGUGAAAAGCUGAGCCCCGUAUCUACUAGGGGUGGUCAGUGCUAUUUAAGGGGCAGAGAAGAUGGUGUUGAGGUAUUGUAGCCCGGGAGACUGCAUGGGGCGACUCACAUAAGACCCCUCCUCUAUGUCUGAUCUUUGAAAACACAAUUUGUGUGAUCCUCAUUAGGAAAUUAAAAUUUCAUAUAACAUUCUGAGCUCAGUUGAUGUAUUUGUA